UGCAAGUCGAGCGAACAGACGAGGAGCUUGCUCCUCUGACGUUAGCGGCGGACGGGUGAGUAACACGUGGAUAACCUACCUAUAAGACUGGGAUAACUUCGGGAAACCGGAGCUAAUACCGGAUAAUAUAUUGAACCGCAUGGUUCAAUAGUGAAAGACGGUUUUGCUGUCACUUAUAGAUGGAUCCGCGCCGCAUUAGCUAGUUGGUAAGGUAACGGCUUACCAAGGCAACGAUGCGUAGCCGACCUGAGAGGGUGAUCGGCCACACUGGAACUGAGACACGGUCCAGACUCCUACGGGAGGCAGCAGUAUGGAAUCUUCCGCAAUGGGCGAAAGCCUGACGGAUCAACGCCGCGUGAGUGAUGAAUGUCUUCUGAUCGUAAAACUCUGUUAUUUGUGAAGUACUUAUUUUUAAUUAUC
rnacentral:rRNA from 1 species